UCCGUGACGGCGUGCCUUUUGCAUAAUGAGCCUACGAGUUACCGUUGCUAGCAAGGUUAAGGACUUCAGGUCCGGAUCCGUAGCGAAAGCGAGUCUGAAUAGGGCGCUUUAGUUAGUAGUGGUAGACGCGAAACCGUGUGAUCUACCCAUGGGCAGGUUGAAGCUGUAGUAACAUACAGUGGAGGCCCGAACCGGUUGACGUUGAAAAGUCUUCGGAUGACCUGUGGGUAGGGGUGAAAGGCCAAUCAAACUCGGAAAUAGCUCGUACUCCCCGAAAUGCAUUUAGGUGCAGCGUCGGUUUAGUUUUAUAGAGGUAGAGCUACUGAUUGGAUGCGGGGGCUUCACCGCCUACCAAUUCCUGACAAACUCCGAAUGCUAUAAAAUGAUGACCGGCAGUGAGGGCAUGGGUGCUAAGGUCCAUGUCCGAGAGGGAAAGAACCCAGACCAUCAGCUAAGGUCCCCAAAUGUAUGUUAAGUUGAAUAAACGAGGUUGAACUGCUUAGACAGCUAGGAUGUUGGCUUGGAAGCAGCCAUUCAUUUAAAGAGUGCGUAACAGCUCACUAGUCGAGCGGUUCGGCAUGGAUAAUAAUCGGGCAUAAACAUACUACCGAAGCUAUGGACUUGUAAAAGUGGUAGGGGAGCAUUGUAGUGUCGUCGAAGGUGAAGCGUGAGCUUUGCUGGAGAAGCUACAAAAGAAAAUGUAGGCAUAAGUAACGAUAAUGCGGGCGAGAAACCCGCACUCCGAAAGACUAAGGUUUCCUCAGCUAUGCUAAUCAGCUGAGGGUUAGUCGGGACCUAACGCGAACCCGAAAGGGGUAGUGGAUGGACAACAGGUUAAUAUUCCUGUACCUGCUCACACUAAAAGUGACGGAGGCGAAUAGUUAGUGCGCACAGACGGAAUUGUGCGUUGAAGGGAACAGUAAUGUCCUGAUAGUACACUAAGACUACGGUCGCGGUGAUAAUCUAGCGAAUCGACUUCCAAGAAAAGCGAGUGAAGCAGCCCGUACCCUAAACCGACACAGGUAGUUGGGAUGAGAAUUCUAAGGUGCUCGAGAGAUUCAUGGCUAAGGAACUAGGCAAAAUAGACCUGUAACUUCGGGAGAAAGGUCGCCCCCCUCCGGGGGGGCCGCAGUGAAAAGGUCCAGGCGACUGUUUAUCAAAAACACAGGGCUUUGCUAAAUUGAAAGAUGAUGUAUAAGGCCUGACACCUGCCCGGUGCUGGAAGGUUAAGUGGAGGGUUUAGCUUCGGCGAAGAUCUAAAAUGAAGCCCCAGUAAACGGCGGCCGUAACAAUAACGGUCCUAAGGUAGCGAAAUUCCUUGUCGGGUAAGUUCCGACCUGCACGAAUGGCGUAACGACUUCCCCGCUGUCUCCAACAUCGACUCAGCGAAAUUGAAUUGCCUGUCAAGAUGCAGGCUUCCCGCGGUUAGACGGAAAGACCCCGUGCACCUUUACUACAGCUUCGCACUGGCAUCAGGAUUGUGAUGUGCAGGAUAGGUGGUAGGCAUCGAAACCGUGACGCUAGUCGCGGUGGAGCCUUCCUUGAGAUACCACCCUUCGCACUCUUGAUGUCUAACCGCGGCCCAUUAUCUGGGUCCGGGACCCUGCGUGGCGGGUAGUUUGACUGGGGCGGUCGCCUCCUAAAGCGUAACGGAGGCGCGCGAAGGUUGGCUCAGAGCGGUCGGAAAUCGCUCGUUGAGUGCAAUGGCAAAAGCCAGCCUGACUGCGAGACUGACAAGUCGAGCAGAGACGAAAGUCGGCCAUAGUGAUCCGGUGGUCCCGAGUGGAAGGGCCAUCGCUCAACGGAUAAAAGGUACGCCGGGGAUAACAGGCUGAUACUGCCCAAGAGUCCAUAUCGACGGCAGUGUUUGGCACCUCGAUGUCGGCUCAUCUCAUCCUGGGGCUGGAGCAGGUCCCAAGGGUACGGCUGUUCGCCGUUUAAAGAGGUACGUGAGCUGGGUUUAGAACGUCGUGAGACAGUUCGGUCCCUAUCUGCCGUGGGUGUAGGAUACUUGAGAGGAGUUGCCCCUAGUACGAGAGGACCGGGGUGAACGAUCCACUGGUGGACCUGUUAUCGUGCCAACGGUAGUGCAGGGUAGCUAUGAUCGGAAAGGAUAACCGCUGAAGGCAUCUAAGCGGGAAGCCCCCCUCAAAACAAGGUAUCCCUGAGGGCCGUGGAAGACCACCACGUCAAUAGGCCGGAGAUGUAAGCGCAGCAAUGCGUUCAGUUGACCGGUACUAAUCGCCCGAUUGGCUUGAUC
rnacentral:rRNA from 1 species